ensembl:lncRNA
GUAUGUAACAAAGCGGACGGCUGUUCAUCUGUUUCUUCUCAUAUUCUUUGGCAUGUUUGUCCAAGAGGAAACAGGAGAGCUCUAUUGAGAAUUAUGGAUUUUCCAGGAGGGGAGAUACAGAAUCAGAAGAGAACAUCAAGAAAGUAUCCCAAGGAUCCUAGAAGACAGAGCCUGCGGCAAAGAUAAAUUGCAGACGCUGUAUUUGGGAGAUGAAGAUCCAGGUCAAUGCGAGUUAGGACAAAGAAAAAUGAGGCAGGGAGGAGACGCGAGGUGAUUUGUAGCCACCAUGCCCGCUGCUUACAAGAUGUGAACAAAUGCUGCAGAUGGGUCCGCUCACCGCAUAGAGAGUCUCCAGACGGGCUCGGUGGCGACACCACCUCUCGGAGGGGGCUUCUGGAAGGAGAAAGGAGAGGGGCUUUCUCUGCUGAGCUCCCUACCACUUUUUACUCUCAGAAGCAACUCCCUUGCGCUUCACGCUGCCCUGUUUAGCUUCCCUGUGUUUCACCCCAGGACUAAAAAGGCCUAAAGAGGCCGCACCUGCCAGAAACAGCUGGUCCCCCCACCUAGCUCUGCAGGGAACAAAUGGGGGUAGCGUGGCAAACGCAGGGCUGAACCUGGUAUCCCUACUUGAGCAGAAAAAAUAUAUACCCUUAGUACGUGGCAGUGAUUUGGCGAAUGUUUUCUUUUAUCCGUCAAGAGGAGUAUAACAUUUUGCCACUUGAUGGUAAGGACCACAUUAAUUUCACGAUCUUACCUCAAGGUAAUGCUGACUCUUCUGCUGUUGGUUCCAGUAUAUUUCCAUUCUAUCAAACAUCACACUGAUUCAUUGUAUUGAGGCUGGGAUAAUCUGACCUGGUGAGCGGAAAAUGGUGUCUGUCACCCAGAAAAGCAUAUGAAUAGAAAGAUGUUUUUUAGUGGCUUAGUCAUAUCUGACUCUUUUGUGACCCCAUGGACUGUAGCCCACCAGGCUCCUCUGUGCAUGGGGUUUUCCAGGCAAGAAUACUGGAGUGGGUUGCCAUUUCCUUCUCCAUGGAUCUUCCUGUUCCAGGAAUGGAACCCAAGUCUCCUGCAUUGCAGGCAGAUUCUUUACCACUGAGCCAUUAGGGAAGCCUGAAUAGAAAGAUAUAAACUCCUAAAGAUUCCUGAGCUUGCAGUAUCAUUGACAUUUUUAAAGUCCACAUGAAAACCCCUUGCAUCUUCCACAAUGUAUAAAGUGGAGUUCUGUAGUUCACUUGAGGUUUUGUAGGCACUGUGUUAGGUCAUUUGCAAAGUGCUUGCCAUAAUUCUCUCCCUUGAUC